GGUUCUGCUGCUGAGAAUUCUGGCUUGAUGUCUGGUCCACCUGUUAGCUGGCUCUGGUGCUUGGUAGUCUUCUCAAACCUCUGAAUCAAGGCCACCAUGAGAGGCCUUCUGAAGACCAUCAUUACGCUUCAGAUCCAGUUGUCUUAACUAUGAGCCUACCACAAUCCCUGUGCACCAGCUAUGGAAAGUGCAGACCAAACUUCUACCUCCACCUAUAGAACUGAACUGGAGUCUGUGAACUAAUGCUGUGUUCGAGACAACUGGAACAGCAAACAAAAUCCUUUCUCUUUUUAAUGCAGCACUUAAGGAUGAACCACCCUGAUCUACUAAGAUGCACAGAUUCAACUCUGGCCCAGCAUCAUCCCCACACCUCAUCUGCCAUCAGUUUAAUUUAAUGUCUGUCAAUUGCAAAUGCUAUUUAUUUCAGUUAUAUUACAACUUAAUGUUAACUUUAAUUGAGACUAGUAUUGUGUAAAGCUGGGGUUUCCAAACUUUUCAUUUCAAAACCUAUUAGACAAGUGUAAUCUAUUCUAGACCCACUAAAAUAUUUUUACAUAUACAUUUUUUUAAUGGGGUAAAACACAUUUGUUCUCUUUCAGUGGAGUCAUUUUAUUUUCAUAAUAUUUCAUAAUGUAAAGCAGUGGUUCUUAACGUUAUUCCUUGAGGCCCACUGCUCUGCACAUUUUGUAUGUCUCUUUUAUCUGACAGACUCAGUUCAGUUCAUUGAGAUCUCUUCUAAUGAGCUGAUGAUUUGAAUCAGGUGUGUUAAAUAAGGGAGACAUACAAAAUGUGCAGGGCAGUGGGCCUCGAGGAAUAACAUUAAGAACCACUGAUGUAAAGUAAAUACAAGUUUAUUUGCAAUACCAAAUAUUUUAUGGUAUAUUCUUUCAAAACCAUUGUCAUUGUUAAUUAUUAAUUUGGCCAAACUGUUGUUGCAUCAUUAAGGUGUGCAACACACCUUAACCUACUGUGUGACCGACAAGUGGGUCCUCCUGACCCACAGUUUAAAAUCCCCUGGUGUACUGAAUGUAUUGUAAUUAAAGUCGCAUCUAAGUCUUG